rnacentral:lncRNA from 1 species
CCACAAAAAGAAUUUUCCCAUGUUAACGGGGACAGCUUCAUGGCUUCAUGACUCCACAGGGUCCCACCCACACUCAAAGAUGCCACACUAGAUUUAUCGUGAUGCUAUUGUCAUCUUGACAUUUCAUAAAAAUUAUUAUCAUGGAACUUAUGAUUUGUAAGUGAAAUCCUUUGGGACAAUAAAGCAUGCCUGUAUGCCAUAGAGACAGGGGCAUUGUGUGUGUCCGCCGUUCACUGUUGGUAUUUAUUGGUAAAUCAAAUGCAUUUGUUGGUGGUUUAGAAAAUAUAUGGUACUUUUCAUUCAGUUGAGAAUGAUACUCUUAACUUUUGUGAGAAAAGGACCUCAAAGUCUUCGCCAUAGUCUUCAUGGUGUAGACUGCUGAGCCAUGGUACUCGAGGUUUGGUGUGGUAUUAAAUACUCUUUAAAUGAGCUUUGAAUUUUGAAUCUGGAGAAUGCCUUGUCAUCCAAAAAGUAAAAACAAUAGGGAAAAAUAAAGAUGUGAGCUGAAGCAAAAAGAAGAUGGUAAUAUUCAUUAAUUUUGUCACUAAAUAUCACAGGCUAUCUUCUCUGUCUCAUUAUGCAGGCGAAGUUAAAGUUGGACAAAUUUUAUUUUUAAUGCUGAAUUUCAGCUUUUUUAAGUGAAAAAGUGGUGGCCAAGAUGUUAACAAAUAAAUAUGUGACAUUAAGAUCAAAUAUAUAUGCUUAUACAAAAAUGCCUUUACAAACUAG